AGAGUUUGAUCAUGGCUCAGAUUGAACGCUGGCGGCAUGCUUUACACAUGCAAGUCGAACGGCAGCACGGGGGCAACCCUGGUGGCGAGUGGCGAACGGGUGAGUAAUACAUCGGAACGUGUCUUCAAGUGGGGGAUAACGCAGCGAAAGCUGUGCUAAUACCGCAUAAUCUCUGAGGAGAAAAGCAGGGGAUUCGCAAGACCUUGCGCUUUUGGAGCGGCCGAUGUCUGAUUAGCUAGUUGGUGAGGUAAAGGCUCACCAAGGCAUCGAUCAGUAGCUGGUCUGAGAGGACGACCAGCCACACUGGGACUGAGACACGGCCCAGACUCCUACGGGAGGCAGCAGUGGGGAAUUUUGGACAAUGGGGGCAACCCUGAUCCAGCCAUGCCGCGUGAGUGAAGAAGGCCUUCGGGUUGUAAAGCUCUUUCAGCCGGAACGAAACGGUCACGGCCAAUACUCGUGACUAAUGACGGUACCGGAAGAAGAAGCACCGGCUAACUACGUGCCAGCAGCCGCGGUAAUACGUAGGGUGCGAGCGUUAAUCGGAAUUACUGGGCGUAAAGCGUGCGCAGGCGGUUUUGUAAGUCAGAUGUGAAAUCCCCGGGCUUAACCUGGGAACUGCGUUUGAAACUACAAGGCUAGAGUGUAGCAGAGGGGGGUGGAAUUCCACGUGUAGCAGUGAAAUGCGUAGAGAUGUGGAGGAACACCGAUGGCGAAGGCAGCCCCCUGGGCUAACACUGACGCUCAGGCACGAAAGCGUGGGGAGCAAACAGGAUUAGAUACCCUGGUAGUCCACGCCCUAAACGAUGUCAACUAGUUGUCGGGUCUUAACGGACUUGGUAACGCAGCUAACGCGUGAAGUUGACCGCCUGGGGAGUACGGUCGCAAGAUUAAAACUCAAAGGAAUUGACGGGGACCCGCACAAGCGGUGGAUUAUGUGGAUUAAUUCGAUGCAACGCGAAAAACCUUACCUACCCUUGACUUGUACGGAAGCUUGCCGAGAGGUGAGUGUGCUCGAAAGAGAACCGUAACACAGGUGCUGCAUGGCUGUCGUCAGCUCGUGUCG
rnacentral:rRNA from 1 species